rnacentral:lncRNA from 1 species
CUCUCUCUCUCUCUCUCUCUCUCCCUCUCUGCCAUGUGUGGACGUGGCCAGAAGGUGGCCCUCUGCAAAGCAGAAAGAGAGCUCCCACCAGAACCUGACCAUGCCUGCAUCCUGAUCUUGGAUUUCCAGCCUCCGGAACUGCUUGCUCUGCCCACUCUUUCCUCCAAAUGGAAGUGGCCCAAGUCUCUCUCAACCUAUCCGUGGUUCCUUCAGGCUCACAGUGACAAGGCUAUUUCUAGAUCUCAUGUCUGCCGGGCUGUGAUGGCUUCUGUAUCCUCUGUCCAGACCUGUCCCUCACACGGACCUGUCCUUACGGGAGUGAUGCAUGUGAAGCCGUUCGAAUCAGAAGUUUGCUUGGUGAGCAUGAACUCCGAACGUGGAAUUCCGGCACAGGCGUUAGAUGGCUAAGAGUUGUUUGGACCAUUCAGUCCCAUACCAGGGAUUCAGGGACAUCCUGAGAUUGGACCGAUCCUGUAACUGGACCAACAAAACCCCUAGACCAGUGGUGUACCAAUAAAGCAUCG